rnacentral:tRNA from 1 species
AAAAAGAUAAGCUAAAUAAGCUUACAGGUUCAUACCCUGUUUAUGAAAGAUUAACCUUUCUCUUUUUA